rnacentral:lncRNA from 1 species
UUUUGCUACAGGUACUGCUAAACCACUGAGCUACAUUCCCCAGCCCUUUUUAAAUUUUAUUUUGAGACAGAGUCUCACUAAAUUGCUGAGGCUGGACUAGAACUUGCAAUCCUCCUGCCUCAGACUCUUGAGACACUGGGAUUACAGGUGUGUGCCACCCUGUCCAGCUUAAAAAUCUUUUUUUUGUUUAAACCUCACUGGAUGGGCUUCAGAACAGAAUGAACAAGACAGAAGAAACAAUCAAUGAACUUGAAAACAAAAUAAUAAUAAUAAUUUGAACAGCACAAAGAAGUGGAUCUAAAAAUACGAGCAGAGCCUCAGAAAUCAGAUUUGACACUGUGUCAUUUUAGUUCCAGAAGGAGAUGAAAAAGAGUGUGAGACUGAAAAUAUGUCACAAAAAAUAAUGACUGAAAUCCUUUCAAAUUUGGUGAAAAAAAUAAACUUCAGAUUCAACAAGCUGAAUGAACUCCAAGCAAAAUAAGUUCAAAGAAAUCUAUGCCAAGACAAUCAUAAACAAUAAUAAUAAUUUUCAGAAAAAGAUAAAGAUAAAAUCUUGAUAGCUAGUGAAGAAUGACACAUUAACUACAGAGAAACAAUGAUUCCACAGACAGUAUAUUUUUCUUAGAAUUCAUCAAUACCAGAAGGAAACAAUACGUUUUUCAAGUGCCGAAAGAAAAGAGCAAUCCAUCCAGAAUUCUAUACCCAGCAAAAAUAUUUGUGAAAUCAAGGCAUUCUCAAAUGAAGGAAAACUAAGAGAAGGUGCUACAAGCAGACAUGUACAGAGAAGGAAUGACUAACACAAGUCCUUUAAACAGAAAAGAAAUGAUAAAAGAAGGAAAUUUAUGGGGCUGAGGUUGUAGCUCAGUGGUUGAGUGCUUGUCUCGAAUAUGUGAGGAACUGGGUUUGAUCCUCAGCACCACAUUAAAUAAAUAAAUAAAACAAAGAUAUUGCAUCAAUCUACAACUAAAAACAACUUUUAAAAAAUAAAUAAAAGAAGGAAAUUUAGAACAACAUUAAUGAAAAAAUAACAGAAAGAGUAAAAAUAUAGGUAAAUAGACUAUUCUCUUGAGUUUUCUAAUUAUGAUUCACAUUGAAUUAUGUUGACACCACUAGGCUUGUUAUGUACAAUAAGAGAUGUUAUAUAUGGUAAUGUCUAGAGCGAUCACUAAGACUCUACAUAAAAACACAUUAUAGAUAAAUAAAAGUGGAAUUCUAAGAAAUGUUCAGGUAACCCACAGUAAAGCAAAAAAUUUGAAACGGGAAUGAAAAAUAGAGGAAUAAACAGAUAACAAACAAAAUAGCAUACUUGUGUCCUAACUGUAAAUAAUUACAUUAAAUUUAGAUGAAUUGAAAGAUAAAAAUUCAUAGAAUAAAUUAAAAAACAAACAUGGGGGCUGGGGUUGUGGCUCAGCGGCAGAACGCUUGCUAGCAUGUGUGAGGCACUGGGGUUGAUUAUCAGCACCACAUAUAAAUAAAUAAAAUAAAGGUCCAUUUACUAUAUAUAUAUAUAUAUAUAUAUAUAUAUAUAUGUAAAUAUAUAUAUAAUUUCAAGUAAAGAAAUUAUCCUGAGUGUAAAGGAAAAAAAGGCAAUCUUAAAUGAUUACCUAUAGUGUGGUUCCAUCUUUUGUCUACUAAGUUACACAAGCAAUUACAAAAUAUUUUUUAAAAAGCUACUCUUUGAUGAAUUUUUUUGGUCUGAUAAAUAUAAUUUUCAUAGGUUAUUUAUGUUAACAUGUAAUGGGUUUAUUAUUGUUUUCAUAUGAAUUAAUAAAUAUUUUUAAGUUUCUCACUUUUAAUUGCUAACUGGGUAAAUAUUGAUUGAUACAAUUCACAUUAAAAAAAAAGUUCUCUGGGGGUGAAGUGGAUCUUCAAUAAUUUUUUAAAUGUAAAGGACUCCUAGAAACAAAAGUUUAAGAACCACUAUACGAAUGAAUUCCUUAGGAAAACUUCAUAUUCACACUUUUUGUUAGCAGCCUUUAUACCUGAAAAAAAUAUGAGCAAAUGUAA